rnacentral:rRNA from 1 species
CAGCAGCCGCGGUAAUACGAGGGGGGCAAGCGUUGUUCGGAUUUAUUGGGCGUAAAGGGUGCGUAGGCGGUUUGGCAAGUCUUGUGUGAAAUCUUCGGGCUCAACCCGAAGCCUGCACGAGAAACUACCGGGCUUGAGUAUUGGAGAGGUGAGUGGAAUUUCCGGUGUAGCGGUGAAAUGCGUAGAUAUCGGAAGGAACACCUGUGGCGAAAGCGGCUCACUGGACAAUAACUGACGCUGAUGCACGAAAGCUAGGGGAGCAAACAGGAUUAGAUACCCCCGUAGUCCCUGUCUCUUAUAC